AAAGAUAUUUGACUCUGCACACCUGCUUGACCCCACUGCAAAGUUUUUCUUCGAUUCGUUUUGACAGAGGGACGUCUUACCUUUUCAACGGCUGGUAAAGGUCCUUAAUGAAAGGUGUGUUUUGUGUUCCUGCCAAGAUGCUUUACUCACAAUAGAGACAAACCCAUGAUUGCAGAGUUCAAGACAGAUGGCCAGGACUGUUCACUGUGCCUGAGGUAUAAACUGCUUCUUAAAACAUAAUCAAUGUUAUAUAAUGCAUCAACUGACAGUGUUUAGUAUACAC